CAGAUACCAGGACUGGUGACUAUGAGGGUUAAUGUGAGGAAAUGUGAAUGUGAUCUGCAAAAAGGAGUCUGUGAAGUCUGAUAUGUUUUUGUGAGAGUACAACAUAAGCUAAUUCUACUAUCUUUGCUCAAGGAAAGCUACCCAGCAAUGAAGGUUUCUUGUGGCCAAGGUUAAUUCUGGACAAAAUAGACUGAAAUCAACCAAUAAGCUUCCUCAGGGGCCUGCUUGAUCCACUUCAGAUUCUUACCCUGUUUUAUGAGAGGUUGAAAAAGGUUCAAGACCUGGUUGUAUUCCACUGCUCCCACCGACAGCUAAGGAACCAGUUUUUGGCGUCUGGUUUGUCUGUUGUUUUACUGCUGACCUUCAGAUCAACUUUCACCCCUGACCCUGGGAGGCAUCUAUCAUGACAAGAGGCUGUUUAACACAAAUGGUGCCCAUUUAUAGGGGAAGAGACAGUCAGAAGAUUUCCUUUUUAUGAAGAAUUUGGGUUUCUUUUUUUUUUCUACCCCUCUUUUCUCAGUCACCACAGGUGAAAUCCCUCCCAGCAGCUGGCUUAUGAAAUAAUGUGAGGGGAGGCCUUAAUGAGCUGAAAGCACCCUCAGCUGGAGAUAAAUAUAUGCAAAUGAGAUGCACAAACAAAGGCGCCUGGACAGAGAAAUAUCUGCAAUUCCAGCAAA
rnacentral:lncRNA from 1 species